rnacentral:tRNA from 1 species
UCAUAGCUCAGGUGGUUAGAGCGCAUGCCUGAUAAGCAUGAGGUCGGUGGUUCGAAUCCACUUGAG